UACGUAGGGUGCGAGCGUUUGUCCGGAAUUAUUGGGCGUAAAGGGCUCGUAGGCGGUUUGUCGCGUCGGGAGUGAAAACCAUGAGCUUACUCAUGGCUUGCUUUCGAUACGGGCAGACUAGAGGGCAUGCAGGGGAGAACGGAAUUCCUGGAUGUAGCGGUGAAAUACGCAGAUAUCAGGAGGAACACCGGUGGCGAAGGCGGUUCUCUGGGCAUGUCCUGACGCUGAGGAGCGAAAAGUGUGGGGAGCGAACAGG
rnacentral:rRNA from 1 species